rnacentral:rRNA from 1 species
GCGCACCAGGCGCGAAACUUUACAAUGUGCGAAAGCACGAUAAGGGAACUCUGAGUGCCUCCUAAGGAGGCUGUUCUGAUGUCUAAAAAGCAACAGAAGUAAGGGCUGGGUAAGACCGGUGCCAGCCGCCGCGGUAACACCGGCAGCCCAAGUGGUAGCCACGUUUAUUGGGUCUAAAGCGUUCGUAGCCGGCCAGGUAAGUUCCUUGGUAAAUUUAGCCGCUUAACGGUUAAGCUUUCAGGGAAUACUGCUUGGCUUGGGGACUGGGGAGAGGUCAGAGGGUACUCCGGGGGUAGGGGUGGAAAUCUAUUAAUCCCUGGGGGACCGACCGGUAGCGAAGGCGUCUGACCAGACCAGGUCCGACGGUGAGGGACGAAGGCUAGGGGCGGCGAACCGGGAUUAGAUACCCGCGUAGU